rnacentral:rRNA from 1 species
CAGUCGAGCGGUAGCACAGAGAGCUUGCUCUCGGGUGACGAGCGGCGGACGGGUGAGUAAUGUCUGGGAAACUGCCUGAUGGAGGGGGAUAACUACUGGAAACGGUAGCUAAUACCGCAUAAUGUCGCAAGACCAAAGUGGGGGACCUUCGGGCCUCAUGCCAUCAGAUGUGCCCAGAUGGGAUUAGCUAGUAGGUGGGGUAACGGCUCACCUAGGCGACGAUCCCUAGCUGGUCUGAGAGGAUGACCAGCCACACUGGAACUGAGACACGGUCCAGACUCCUACGGGAGGCAGCAGUGGGGAAUAUUGCACAAUGGGCGCAAGCCUGAUGCAGCCAUGCCGCGUGUGUGAAGAAGGCCUUCGGGUUGUAAAGCACUUUCAGCGGGGAGGAAGGCGUUAAGGUUAAUAACCUUGUCGAUUGACGUUACCCGCAGAAGAAGCACCGGCUAACUCCGUGCCAGCAGCCGCGGUAAUACGGAGGGUGCAAGCGUUAAUCGGAAUUACUGGGCGUAAAGCGCACGCAGGCGGUCUGUCAAGUCGGAUGUGAAAUCCCCGGGCUCAACCUGGGAACUGCAUUCGAAACUGGCAGGCUAGAGUCUUGUAGAGGGGGGUAGAAUUCCAGGUGUAGCGGUGAAAUGCGUAGAGAUCUGGAGGAAUACCGGUGGCGAAGGCGGCCCCCUGGACAAAGACUGACGCUCAGGUGCGAAAGCGUGGGGAGCAAACAGGAUUAGAUACCCUGGUAGUCCACGCCGUAAACGAUGUCGAUUUGGAGGUUGUGCCCUUGAGGCGUGGCUUCCGGAGCUAACGCGUUAAAUCGACCGCCUGGGGAGUACGGCCGCAAGGUUAAAACUCAAAUGAAUUGACGGGGGCCCGCACAAGCGGUGGAGCAUGUGGUUUAAUUCGAUGCAACGCGAAGAACCUUACCUGGUCUUGACAUCCACAGAACUUUCCAGAGAUGGAUUGGUGCCUUCGGGAACUGUGAGACAGGUGCUGCAUGGCUGUCGUCAGCUCGUGUUGUGAAAUGUUGGGUUAAGUCCCGCAACGAGCGCAACCCUUAUCCUUUGUUGCCAGCGGUUAGGCCGGGAACUCAAAGGAGACUGCCAGUGAUAAACUGGAGGAAGGUGGGGAUGACGUCAAGUCAUCAUGGCCCUUACGACCAGGGCUACACACGUGCUACAAUGGCAUAUACAAAGAGAAGCGACCUCGCGAGAGCAAGCGGACCUCAUAAAGUAUGUCGUAGUCCGGAUUGGAGUCUGCAACUCGACUCCAUGAAGUCGGAAUCGCUAGUAAUCGUAGAUCAGAAUGCUACGGUGAAUACGUUCCCGGGCCUUGUACACACCGCCCGUCACACCAUGGGAGUGGGUUGCAAAAGAAGUAGGUAGCUUAACCUUCGGGAGGGCGCUUACCACUUUGUGAUUCAUGAC